rnacentral:rRNA from 1 species
ACGAGCGCAACCCUUGUCAUUAGUUGCCAUCAUUUAGUUGGGCACUCUAAUGAGACUGCCGGUGACAAACCGGAGGAAGGUGGGGAUGACGUCAAGUCCUCAUGGCCCUUAUGGGUAGGGCUUCACACGUCAUACAAUGGUCGGUACAGAGGGUUGCCAAGCCGCGAGGUGGAGCCAAUCCCUUAAAGCCGAUCGUAGUCCGGAUCGUAGUCUGCAACUCGACUACGUGAAGUCGGAAUCGCUAGUAAUCGCAGAUCAGCAUGCUGCGGUGAAUACGUUCCCGGGUCUU